AGUAAAGUCACUUUAUUUGGUACAUUAAAGUUCCAAACCUGAAUUUAAUUUCCAUUUGACUGCAAUCCUCGGUAUUAUAUGUUCUGUCUCUACAAAGAAGAAACGCAGUCCACAAAGGACACAGACCUUAUUGAGCUUAGGGAAAAACAAUGUAUAUAGUUCUCUUCUAAUUGCAUAAAUAUAGUCUUCUCUCUCUCACUAGUUUUCAUAUAUAAGCUCUCGACUGAGUUCCGCUCGGUGUCCAAAACUUUCAUAUCUAAACCAUGACUGCGCCAGUGCCUUCUCUCAUCUACCGACGCGGCGGGGGUCUCCUCCCGCCUGGAGCUUGAUCUUCCUCGUCGGAUUCGACGUCUCCAUACUGCCACAGCCGCAGCCUUUCCUUCUUCGCCUUCUCCUGGAACUGUUCCAGGUUCUCGAGAGCUGUCUUCCUCUCCUUGGUGUCCCAUCUCUUGCCCCUUUCAAGUCGGGCAAGCCCUUCCUGCAAACAUUAGCAUGAGCAUGUUAGGGAUGAAGUUGACUAUUCCCAAACACAUAAAUAUGCAUCUAAGCUGGGAUAGGAAAUAAUGCUAAUAAUACUGAAUUCAUUGAAUAUAACUCGCACGUCGACCUCAAAAAGUAACUCAGACGUCAGAUAAACCAGAGUAGCUGGUAACUGAGACGAUGUUUCCAUAACCCUCAGAAUCCAUAUACACCACAAAACAUACUUAAGGUAGGUAGGAACUAGCGGAUAACAAUCCUAAUGUAUAGCAUUUCCGAAGCUACAUUUCCAAAAAAAACAUGGAGGGUCUAAACACUACUGUAUAAUUUUCAUGAUCAAUAUUAAAAAAAAUAUGACUAAUUCUGAGUGAUUGUGUAAAACUACUCAAACUGCUUAAGCAAUAUCCUCCAAACUAUUUUCAUAGCAAACUAUUUCUAUAAAGAAAGCUCCUCAUGGAAAGAUCAAAGCAGACCAUGCAGAACCCCGCCAGCCAGUAAACAAAGCUAACCAGCAAUUCAUAAUGCAUAACAGUUAAUAGCACAAACCUCGAGCAUGGCAGCAUUGAUGCUGGAUUCUGUCUCUGGAUCAACAAGAGUCACAAUGAGUACAGGUCCAGUGCCUUGUCCCUUCACUUUACCACCAGUAGUGUCGCGCUCUUCGAUCAUUGCCCGGUAUUGUUUUGAACUGCUCAGCAAGCAUUCGCUGAGAUACUCUGCUGCUUCCUGACCAUUAUCAUCCUCCAGACCAGGCACCUUUAUGAAGGCAAGGCUGCAGAGCUGAGCAAGAGGAGGAGAGGAGGAUACUGAUGGGUCUGCAGGCCGGAUGCGGUUGUAAGGAACCACUUCUUGGUUGCCAAAAUCAAUGUAGAAUACUUCAAAUUUGUCAUCUACAGACUCUACAGCUCCUCGGGGUCCAUUAACAAUCUGCAGGAAUUAUGAUGGAAAUUCUCCUUAGGAUACUGUACGAUUUUAUUAUAAACAAAUAUGUAAAACUAAUUAGUCAUCAUGAGAAGAACAAAUAUUAGCAUGUAGCAUUGCACUGAAGUGGGACAUCAUGCGCGUAUUUUCAACAAUACUGUCAACUUGGCAAGAUACUGCUAAUAGUAUUGUCAUGUGCACUGUUAGGUACUCAAGUCUGACACUCGGCAUGUAUCACUUCACCUAAAUGAUCCUAACAAGCACACCAAUUCUUAAGGUCCAGCAGCUUAAGUAGAAACUGAUAUUUGUUAAAUGCGUCAAGUUAAACGGCUAAUGACAGGUCUAAGUAUCUAUUAAAGAUAUUGCUGAAAUCAGAGUCUGAAUUUAAUAGCCAAUCUAUGACCUUGAUACAAGAAUAAUUAGUUAGUUUUAAUAUGAGUGAAUUAACUGUAGUCAUACCAUGGCUCUAUUCCAAGAGUUGUCGAGGCUAAACUGAGCAAGGACUAUCUCUCCCUUCCCAGGAUUAAAAGCACCAAUGACUGGUGCCUCCUUAAGUUUCAAGGAUGCAAGCUGUUGUUGGAUGGAAGCUACUCUCUGGUCACCUACUGUCUGGGCAUAGAACUUUCCACCACCAAGAACUUCAGUAGCAACAACCUGAACUCAGGUAACAGAGCCAUGUCAGCACUGUUUUAGUAACGACAAAAAUCAACUACUUCCAAUGUUUUUUCAUCAACGAACCUUCAGAAUUUCCUUUUGUUUGGAUUCAGAGGCCGACCCAUUAGUAACUUCUUCACCCUCGACAUAGUUCUCCCAUAUCUUGAUAAAUAGGUGUCAGUAACAAAAAAAAACAAUUAUGUACUUCCUAAAAGAUGUAGCAGUAUAACAGGUUACCUUCAGUUUCUGCUGCUUUGCUAACUUUUCAGCUCUUGUGAGGACAUGAGCAUCUGGAAUCCUAUCCAAGCCAAAUGAACUAAGCUUGGCCAAGCCAGACUCCAAAAGAACAGAACCCACAUUGGUCUUAGACUCCCACAAGGAACCUAUGAAUGUUCCAGUUCUAUCAACUGUUUCAACCUCAAUCUGCAAAAUGAUUUGGUAUCCUUCAGAUAUUGAAGAUUGAGAUAUGGACAAAGCAGAGAGGCAGCAAACGCCAUACCUCCACAUCACGCUGUAGAAUCAUCCUCCUCAUCAAAGCAAUAGCUUCGCUCGAGUAGGGCUCAUCUUUACCAGGGCACCUAACACCAGACAAAGAAAAAGCGAUGCUGCAAGUCUCCUUCGGAAUUGUUAGUUUGAAACGAUGACCGCUGAACACAUAUUCAACAACAGCAGUAUGCCUUCUAUUCCGCUGCAGGAAGGGAAGGAAAUCUUUGGCCUUCUUAGAAUUAACCUGAGGAGAUAUGCAAUCAUAACAAUCUAUUAAUAAAGGUGCAGAGCAAAUGUCAAAGGAAACUACUGGAACAAGCAAGAAUGCCAACCAUUGUUAAAUCUGUUAUAUGCAUCACAGGAGGAAGUUUGUCAGAGUGAAUUCCUUUCUUUGCUUUCUCAGCACGUGAGUGAGCCGCUAAUAGAGCAUCAAAAUAAUGUGAUCUUUCCUCAUAGUCACGGUGUUUUGAUAUCUCAGCAAAGCCCCGUGAGAGCAAAAGCUCAGCAACAUUAAUUUUAGGCUGGGUGCCUGUGCUUGGAGCAGAAGAUGUGUCAUCUCCGUCCGCCGGUGAUGGCGAACCUAGAAACACUGAACCAUAAUCCAAAACUCUGGUAUCAGCCGAGUUCAUUACAGGCACAGCAUUCUGUCCAUCCAUUGUACUGAUCCUUCUAGAAUAUUCCAUUUCCACGGUCACCUGAAAUUUUGAAAAAAGGGAUAUAUCAGUCAUUUCUCAACUAAGAAAUCAACUUCUCAUCAUUGUAACUUCAGUAAGAAUAUGAGCAGCCCAUACAUACCUGUUUGCCAAUCAACCGAGUGCGCAAGAAUUCCUUAGAUUCACGAGCAAAUUUGUCGGGCUUGUUGUCCUCUCUGCGGGGAUUGCCUAGCUUAGGAGCUCUAAUACUUGAAAGAUUAACCCGCCGUUCUGCUGAAGGACUACCAUAAGGAGCAGCAUCAUCAGCAACAAUAAUACAAUCUCCACUCACAACUUCUACCACCUACAAAGACAUCAAUAUGAACCAAAUUAGUUAAGUCACAAGAAUGAUGAUCAAUAGACUGCUACUGAGAACAUGAAACCCACUUUUCCAGUGAAUUUCUGAUCAUGGAUUGGCUUCGAAUUUGUCACUGGUGGCUUAAAUCCAGUCCAAAUUCUCAGCUGUUCCUUUUUUGCCUGAAGUUCAGCAUUCUUCAGCUUUAUUUUAACUUCAACAUCUAGCAUGUUCGCACUCCAUUCCACAUAUUUCGCAAGACCCUGUAAUGGGAAGGUUACAGAACAGUUAAGAAAUGCAAAUGUCUGAAAGAUUAAAUAAACAAUUUAGCUAUUCUUGCUUCGUAGAAUGAAUAUGGAUAAAUAAUUAGUCAUACAUUUUCAACAAGCUCAAGGGACAAGUCCUUAGCAGUGUCACCAUCUGGGUAAUACACCGAACCAAUUAUAUUACUGAAACUGUCUGUCCCCUCCACCACAAUCCGCACCUAGAGAAAAAAUACAAAUCAAAACUGAUUAAAAGAUGAUACAUGUUGACUCUAAAGAUGGGAUAAAACAACCAAAAGAAAAGGUGGCUUACAUCUCUGUUCAGAACACGAGUCUCUGUGAAAUGCUUAGCUUCUCUUCCAAACCUAUCUGGUGGAACUUCAGUAGAGGCUGUCGAUGCAGCAAGCCUUUGUGCUGUUGUCAGUGGUGCAGGAGCUUCCCCAGAAUCGUCACCAUUUGUAGUGCCGUUAGUAGUGCCCUCUGGUUCGGCAACAACAGUAGGAUUCGGUGGUCGUCUCCCCAUGGACGGAGCCUGCAUUUCAUCAUUCUCAAUAUUUACUUUCUAACAGAAAAAAUAUAUAUGGAAUCAAAUAGAAGCUAUUGAGAAGCACACCUGCACUCCAGCGACAUAUAUCUGGACAAAUUGGAAACUUGGAAGCAAGUAAACACGAAUGGUACUGCCAUCACGAACUUGUUCGACAAUGGCUUCCAGACUCUUGCCUUUAUUUGCAACUGCAAAACCCUUUGCAUCAAAACCACUUAGUUCGCCAAUUGCUGAUGGUGGAAGAUCUCUUAUCGAAUCUUCAGCAGCACCAGGUUCCUAAGUUGGCAGAAAAUAAGAACACAAAAUUAGGUCAUCAUUCGAUAGAACAUUUGUGUCAUGCAAUUCAAAAGAUGGUUGCAGGACAGCAGGAACCCCAAAAGAAAGCAAACCUUGCUCCAACGGCCUAAACCCUGUUGCUUAGCAACUUCCUCCAACCUCAGAAGCUCAGAGACAUUUGGGAGUGGUUCACCCCCCUUGGGGCCUUGCUCCUUCACCUGAUCAAAUAAAUAAGAUCAAAAUUUACGAAAACAUUUGGCACAACAAAACAAUUGAGGAAAAAGUAAAUGGUUAUCACCCUUGCCCAUCCUGCAGCAACCACCAAGUAGGCAACGUUCUUGUCGCCAAGGUAGACAGUGCCAAAUUCUCGUCCGAUGUUAGGAGCAGUGUAAUCCACUCUAAAUGUGACCUCCUGCAAUAGAUUUUAGUUUUUCAUUUCCAAGAGAAUAUAGAAGUCGUUUUUAUGUGAUUACAUUCAGUAUUAAUACAUGCAUAGGAGGAUUUGGAAUAGAUAAAGAAAAGACACAUCAUGUACCUUUCCUACGCAGAGUUUCCUCAGAUACUCCCUGCUUUCCCAAGCAAAUGGCUCAUCCACUCCACCACGACGAGCCUAGAGCACCACAAAUAUACGGAUUCAACAGACAAGAAAAGAUGGAGACAAGAACAAAUGUACUGCACAAAUAACAUCAACAAUUUAUUAUAGAUGCAUUCCUAAGUGUCAAAUUAUACAAACAGAACACAGUGAAACAGUGGGAACGAAAAUGCAAUGAUGGAGAGAAAUUCUUGUGCCAAAUACUAACUUCCAUUGGCUCACAAGUGUAGCAUGUAAACAUAAUUCACUAUAGAGAAGGGUGGAAGCAGACCCUGCGCAAUCAAGGCUUCAACUCAGGCUCUAGAUCCAAAAGCCCAUAGAAACUACCAUAU
rnacentral:lncRNA from 1 species